GUAGGGGGCAAGCGUUAUCCGGAUUUACUGGGUGUAAAGGGAGCGUAGACGGCACAGCAAGUCUGAUGUGAAAGCCCGGGGCCCAACCCCGGAACUGCAUUGGAAACUGCUGGGCUUGAGUGCAGGAGAGGUAAGCGGAAUUCCUAGUGUAGCGGUGAAAUGCGUAGAUAUUAGGAGGAACACCAGUGGCGAAGGCGGCUUACUGGACUGUAACUGACGUUGAGGCUCGAAAGCGUGGGGAGCAAACAGGAUUAGAUACCCUGGUAGUCCACGCCGUAAACGAUGAUUACUAGGUGUCGGGGGACCAAGGUCCUUCGGUGCCGCCGCAAACGCAAUAAGUAAUCCACCUGGGGAGU
rnacentral:rRNA from 1 species